UCGAGAAAAUUUAUGAGAUCUUUGUGAAACGGGGCCAUGGGCUAUAACAAUCAUUGCAUGAAGUAUAACCAAGAUUAAAGGGUAUUAAACUAGGUAGACAGUUGUAGAUGAAUUAUGUGGGUUUACAGUAUUUAUGUCAGCUUGCCACUGGCAUCGUCAAUAAUGGAAUCGCAUGCCACCAAGAGAGACAAAUAGGCUUCAUGGUUGAGUCCCAAGAUAGAAAGAUACACUGUGUUCUAACAGGCUGUUGAACAGAUGGUUAUCAUGAUUCAUUGAAUUGUUGUGAUGUUACACAUGUUAAAAUACAUUUCUUGUUUCUCAUAACCAGAUAAAGGUCUAUUUUGGGGGAUGUUUUUCAAAAAUAAAAUUAAAUAUUGGAACCAA